rnacentral:rRNA from 1 species
GACGAACGCUGGCGGCGUGCUUAACACAUGCAAGUCGAGCGGAAAGGCUCCUUCGGGGGUACUCGAGCGGCGAACGGGUGAGUAACACGUGAGUAAUCUGCCCUUGGCUUUGGGAUAACUACCGGAAACGGUGGCUAAUACCGGAUACGACCACUCCUUGCAGGAGGUGGUGGUGGAAAGUUUUUUCGGCCAGGGAUGUGCUCGCGGCCUAUCAGCUUGUUGGUGGGGUAAUGGCCUACCAAGGCUUCGACGGGUAGCCGGCCUGAGAGGGUGACCGGCCACACUGGGACUGAGACACGGCCCAGACUCCUACGGGAGGCAGCAGUGGGAAUAUUGGACAAUGGGCGAAGCCUGAUCCAGCAACGCCGCGUGAGGGAUGACGGCCUUGGGUUGUAACCGUAC